AUUCAUCGUGAGAAUUGGGCCUUUGCGUUGGAGUUGAAUUGUGGGUUACAUAAGGAAAUAGUAUUUAUAAACACGACGUUGAGUUGUGGCUUUUGCCUUGGGCUUCAAGAAUGAUGGCGUGGAAUUAUCAUUGGGGAUGGCGUAAUUAGAAGAAAGAGAAGUGGUAAGGAGCUAUGAAAAGGUGGUGUCGAGGAGAGGGGGGGAAAGAGGAAUAUAAUGGAGUUGGUGAAAGGGGAAAAGCAACACGAAAACCAAAAGUAUUGAGAUGAGUUGUUACGACUUUCUCUCUUUUUUCAAUAAUAUAUCAUAAUCAAUUUUUUGUCUUUUUCUUUUGAAA